rnacentral:rRNA from 1 species
GAUGAACGCUGACAGAAUGCUUAACACAUGCAAGUCAUUGGCGAAGCUGCGCUUGCGCAGUCUAGCCAAGGCGGACGGGUGAGUAACGCGUAAGGAACUUGCCCUGCAGACAGGGAUAACAGACGGAAACGACUGAUAACACCAGGUAGUGUCAGACUGUCGCAUGCCGGCCUGAUGAAAGGAGACGCUGCAGGAGGGCCUUGCGUCCUAUUAGCUAGUUGGUGGGGUAACGGCCCACCAAGGCGAUGAUAGGUAGCCGGCCUGAGAGGGUGAACGGCCACAAGGGGACUGAGAUACGGCCCUUACUCCUACGGGAGGCAGCAGUGGGGAAUAUUGGACAAUGGGGGCAACCCUGAUCCAGCAAUUCUGUGUGCACGAAGAAGGUUUUCGGAUUGUAAAGUGCUUUCAGCAGGGAAGAAGAAAGUGACGGUACCUGCAGAAGAAGCGACGGCUAAAUACGUG